UGCCUGGCGGCUUUAGCGCGGUGGUCCCACCUGACCCCAUGCCGAACUCAGAAGUGAAACGCCGUAGCGCCGAUGGUAGUGUGGGGCUUCCCCAUGUGAGAGUAGGACACUGCCAGGCAUU
rnacentral:rRNA from 1 species